rnacentral:rRNA from 1 species
GGGUAGUACUUUUUAUGAAAACCCAUAUUCUUUGGCGGCCUUUUUUCUUAUCAGAGGAACUCGUGUCUUAAUCCGAUAAUCCGCGUUAAAUCUUACUUUCUUUUAAAGUCUUUAUAUCGCUGUCUAAAGACUCAAGUUUAGACUUGAAUUUUCCAAACCUACUUUUCACGUCAAGUCGAGAUAAAGCCAACAAGAAAGAGAGCCGAGUUACUAAUAUUUUUAUUUAACCUUUCAUUUUUCAAAAAUUAUUAAGUUUAGAAUUUGAUAGUAAUUUAUUUAAUAAUAUUUUAAAAUGAAGAAGUAUUUUAGGUGU